CCGAGUUUACAACUCCCAAACCCAAUGUGAACAUACCUACAUGUUGCCUCGGCGGGACCGCCCCGGCGCCCUCGGGCCCGGACCCAGGCGCCCGCCGCAGGACCCCAAACCUCUGUUUUUGUUAAGAUUUCUCCUCUGAGUGGAUUUUACAAAUAAAUCA
rnacentral:misc_RNA from 1 species